GGAUUGUGGCUCAGUGGUAAAGCAUUUGCCUCACAUGUAUGAGGCACUGGGUUCAAUCCUCAGCACCA
rnacentral:tRNA from 1 species